rnacentral:rRNA from 1 species
UACGUAGGGUGCAAGCGUUGUCCGGAAUUAUUGGGCGUAAAGAGCUCGUAGGCGGUUUGUCGCGUCUGCUGUGAAAACGCGAGGCUCAACCUCGCGCCUGCAGUGGGUACGGGCAGACUAGAGUGCGGUAGGGGAGAUUGGAAUUCCUGGUGUAGCGGUGGAAUGCGCAGAUAUCGGGAAGAACACCCGUGGCGAAGGCGGCGUCUCUGGGACGGUGACUGACGCUGAGACGCGAAAGCGUGGGGAGCGAACAGG